rnacentral:rRNA from 1 species
AGAACGAACGCUGGCGGCAGGCCUCAAACAUGCAAGUCUAGGGGGUGUAGCAAUACAUCACCGGCGGACGGGUGCGUAACGCGUGGGAAUGUACCUAUUGGUUCGAACAACCCAGGGAAACUUGGGCUAAUACCGAAUGUGCCCGAAAGGGGAAAGAUUUAUCGCCAAUGGAUCAGCCCGCGUAGGAUUAGCUAGUUGGUGGGGUAAUGGCCCACCAAGGCUCCGAUCCUUAGCUGUUCUGAGAGAAGAUCAGCCACACUGGGACUGAGACACGGCCCAGACUCCUACGGGAGGCAGCAGUUGGAAUCUUGACAAUGGGGAAACCCUGAUCCAGCCAUGCCGCUGAGUGAUGGAGCCUUGGUUGUAAAACUCUUUCGCGCACGACGAUAAUGACGGUAGUGCGAGAAGAAGCUCCGGCUAACUUCGACGCCAGCAGCCGGC